GUUUCUGCAUCCCAAUCCGUGGAGACCACGUGGAGUCCACGUGGAGUGUGAAGCAGAGCCCUAUUUGUUAGCUGUCCUGAGGAUUGUCCCCUGGUACCUAUGGCCUGAGCCCGGCCCAUCUAUCUGUCUUUGUCUGGCCCACUGCAGGGGGAACCACACACUCAUUGGUCGUCCCGAGGAACAAUAGGGGAGUCGUCCUGCUGCGGACCCUCCCUCACAGCUGUGCCCUUGGCUCCUUCUGCUCCCGCAGCACACAGACAAGCCCAAGUGUCAAAGGUCAAGUUUAAAACCUGAAACUACACAGUGAGAGUGAGGGAGGAGCUGGUACCAAUUAGACGAAGCAUCACUGAUGCAUUCUGGUAUGUGUUUCUGUCCGGAGCCGGCUGUUGUGUUGCACAUUUAUGAAUUAGUUUCACACUUCACAGAUAUAAUAUAUUCACAAACACAAGUGAAAAAAAUAAAUACAGAAAACACAUUUAGUCUCAAUUGUGUGUAGAUGUGGACGCAUGUAAAAUAGAUCUGAAACACAUCUGUGUGUGGAAACAUGAUGCUUUGAGCUGAGUUAUUGCUUUCACAUGUUAUGAACUUGAUGUACAGUGUGUUUGCAUUGCACUCCUGUUUUAGUUUAGGAACUUGCUGGAGGAUUUGAAUCUGGUCUUCCACACAAACAUCUGUAUUGUUCUCUCUCUCUUCCUUGCACUCUCUGUCUCACUCUCUCUCCCCUUUACACACACACACACACAAUUCGAGCAUCAGCCAACCCACACCUGGAACAGAUAAAGCGUCUUUCAUGUUUCCAGGGCUAUCCUGAGGUCAGUGAGGACUGGUGUUGAGAGCUAGUUUUACUAGGAGUGAGCAAAGCUGGAAAAGAAAUGAAAAGAAACCAUAUAUAUCCAGGUGUUGCAGAGUUAAGGAAGUUUUAUUAGUCUACAAUUCCUUCCCUAAUGCCUUCCAGCACCACCGCAGAGAUGCAGCCACGGCGUUGUAUCGUGCCCAUCUCUUGCUUAUCUUUUCAACACGAAGAUGGAUAAUAGUUUACUUUGUUCCUUCUGAAUUAUCUGUGUUGUCAAAGACAUAUAAAACCCUCUGUUUUUGUCAUGCUGCAUUCUCAUUCUUGUUGGAGGCAUUUAUGGGAGAAUGUGUGCUUCGUGCCGAAUCUUCCCCUGGAGUAUUAACUUCCACUAUAUUAACCUCUGUCCUCCAGGCUCCAGCUUGGCAGUAACUUUCGCUAUAAAUUAUGUUUCUGAGCUAUGAAUGUUCUAAUGCUUUUAAACAUGUCCUGAAAACCAAUAAACAAAACAUCCACAACAAAGGCAUCUGCAGAGAACAGAAGCCACAUAUCAAACAGUGGCUGAUCCGACACGCAUUUAUUUUACCAACGUGAUGUUUUACAUAAGAACUUCAUUUUUCUUUAGUUUUCUUGGGGUCGUUGUAAUCAGGGAUAUUGUCGUUGCCAAUUUUAAUGAACUGUUUGUGAAACCUUUUAACAAACACUAGUUAUAAACUAGUACAGUUUGUGUUGUUAUGCUGGAGAGUGUAUUAAAUGACAAACCUCAAGAACCUUUUACUAAGAAUACAUCUUUAGAGAUGUGAUUCAUCUGAUGAUGUUGAGACUUGCUGUAAUCUUCAGCAAUCAUGUCACUCUCACCAAAAGAAAAAAAAAUGUCACUGGUGUAUAUUUAUAAUGCAAGUCAGUGUUUUCUGCAAAAAAAA